CCUACGGGAGGCAGCAGUGGGGAAUUGUUCGCAAUGGGCGCAAGCCUGACGACGCAACGCCGCGUGGAGGAUGAAGAUUUUCGGAUCGUAAACUCCUGUCGAGCGGGAAGAAUAGUUUCCGGGCGAAUAUCCCGGGAACCUGACGGUACCGCUAAAGGAAGCCCCGGCUAACUCCGUGCCAGCAGCCGCGGUAAUACGGGGGGGGCAAGCGUUGUUCGGAAUUACUGGGCGUAAAGGGCUCGUAGGCGGCCAACUAAGUCAGACGUGAAAUCCCCAGGCUUAACCUGGGAACUGCGUCUGAUACUGGAUGGCUUGAAUUCGGGAGAGGGAUGCAGAAUUCCAGGUGUAGCGGUGAAAUGCGUAGAUAUCUGGAGGAAUACCGGUGGCGAAGGCGGCAUCCUGGACCGACAUUGACGCUGAGGAGCGAAAGCUAGGGGAGCAAACGGGAUUAGAUACCCUAGUAGUC
rnacentral:rRNA from 1 species